rnacentral:siRNA from 1 species
AUUUGACCUCAAUUUUGAUUUCAA